rnacentral:rRNA from 1 species
UAAACCCCUUUCGACCGGGACGAUAAUGACGGUACCGGUGGAAGAAGCUCCGGCUAACUCCGUGCCAGCAGCCGCGGUAAUACUAAGGGUGCGAGCGUUGUUCGGAAUUAUUGGGCGUAAAGGGCGCGUAAGCGGUGCGCCAAGUCACGUGUGAAAUCCCCGGGCUCAACUCGGGGCCUGCCCCCGAAACUGUGGUGCUGGAGUAUGGGAGAGGUGAGUGGAAUUCCCGGUGUAGCGGUGAAAUGCGUAUAUAUCGGGAGGAACACCUGUGGCGAAAGCGGCUCACUGGACCAUUACUGACGCUGAGGCGCGAAAGCUUGGGGAGCAAACAGGAUUAGAUACCCUGGUAGUCCAAGCCCUAAACGAUGAUUGCUUGGUGU